rnacentral:rRNA from 1 species
GGACGAACGCUGGCGGCGUGCUUAACACAUGCAAGUCGAGCGGUAAGGCCCUUUCGGGGGGUACACGAGCGGCGAACGGGUGAGUAACACGUGGGUGACCUGCCCUCAGCUCUGGGGAUAAGCCCUGGGGAAACCGGGUCUAAUACUGGAUAAUGACUCCAUGACGCAUGUUGUGGGGUGGAAAGCCUUGUGCGGCUGAGGAGUGGGCCCGCGGCCUAUCAGCUUGUUGGUGGGGUGAUGGCCUACCAAGGCGACGACGGGUAGCCGGCCUGAGAGGGCGACCGGCCACACUGGGACUGAGACACGGCCCAGACUCCUAC